rnacentral:lncRNA from 1 species
AAGAUCCUCAAGGUCUACAACAUACACAUUCCCACGUCUUAUUCCUUUAAAAACUAAACUAUUGUCAUUUGAGUUGGUUAUGAUGCAUAGUGAUGGUUUGAACAAAACAUUAAAACCUCUAUCACACAAUUGACUAAUGCUAAGUAGAUUAUGCUUAAGACCAUCAACAUAUCGAACAUUAUCAAUAAAGGUUGAAGGGGUAAUUUGUACUUUACCUAUACCAAUGAUGUGACCUUGGUUAUUGUCUCCAAAAGUCACAGCACCUCCCUUCUUAGCUUCAAGGGUGAAGAAUUGAUCCUUGUCACCCGUCAUGUGUCUUGAGCAGCC